rnacentral:rRNA from 1 species
AUGGAGGACGAGAACCUCCUCGGCGAGAUCCUCCUCCGCGUCGCCCCGCUGCCCUCCUCGCUCCUCCGCGCCUCCCUCGUCUCCAAGCAAUGGGAGCGCCUCGCCGCCGCGCCCGCCUUCCACCGCCGCUUCGUCGCGCACCACCGGCAGCCCCCCAUCCUCGGCGUCUUCGGGCAGCAAGGCCGGGAGCUGGUGUUCACCUCCCUUCUCGACGCUCCCGACCGCAUCCCGCGGGAGCGCUUCUCGCUGCGACCCGGCGGCCACGGCGACGAGAUUGAUUUCUGGGCUCUGCUCGGGUGCCGCCAUGGGCGCGUUCUCUUCGUCAGCACGUUUCGUCGUGCGCUCCUUGUGUUUGACCCCGUCUCCGGCGACCGCCGCCGCGUGGCCAUUCCGCUGGAUUUCGCCUGGUAUGUCUUGGGUGGAGCUGUGCUCUGCGCCGCCGGCGACGACCAGGACCACGUGCACGGAGACUGCCACUCGAGCCCCUUUAAGGUGGUCCUGGUAGGCACCAGAUUGAACCACCCAGCCAUAGCCCAGGUCUACUCCUCGGAGACUGGCAUGUGGGGCGAUCUUGUCUCGACCACAAAACCAUGCGACGGCCUCACUGACAGUUUCCCCUGUACCCUUGUCGGCAAUGUCCUUUAUUGGUGGUUGUAUGGGCAUAACAAUGGCAUACUCGAGUUCGAUAUGCAUAGCCAGACACUAGCUGUGACCGAGGGGCCAUCUCAUGCGGACAUUGACUCUAUCAACAGCCGGAUCAUCAGGGGGGAGGAUGGUGGUGUUGGCAUCGCAGUAUUUUCGUAUCUGAGCUUGAAAAUGUGGAAACGCAAGGUCAGUAGUCAGGGUAUUCACACAUGGGUGCUGCCGAAGAUUGUUAUCGUGCACAAGAUCAUUGAUCUUACACAUCCGAUCAAGGCAAUGGACGCUAUAGUGGGGUACUCAGAGGUUGCUGGUGUGGAUUUUAUAUCGCUGCCUUGCUGUUCAGGUCGGAUCAGGACAGGGAAGGAAGCUAUAGUGGGGUACUCAGAGGAUGCUCAUGCGCUUUUUAUAAAGGUGUCUUGCUGUUCAGGACCCCAUACCUUCAUUGUUGAACUUGAGUCAAUGCAGUCCAGGAAAAUUAAUCAAAGUUUUUUGGAGAAUUCCUAUCAUCCGUUCACAGAUUUCUUCACUGCAGGUACUGUUCGAGCGUGA